UCAGGAUGAACGCUAGCGACAGGCCUAACACAUGCAAGUCGAGGGCAGCACAUGAGUAGCAAUACGAUGGUGGCGACCGGCGCACGGGUGAGUAACACGUAUGCAACCUACCUUCUACCAGGGGAUAACCCGUUGAAAGACGGACUAAUACCCUAUAAUACAGGGGCUCCGCAUGGAGAUAUUUGUUAAAGAUUCAUCAGUAGAAGAUGGGCAUGCGCAUGAUUAGCUAGUUGGCGGGGUAACGGCCCACCAAGGCAUCGAUCAUUAGGGGUUCUGAGAGGAAGGUCCCCCACACUGGUACUGAGACACGGACCAGACUCCUACGGGAGGCAGCAGUGAGGAAUAUUGGUCAAUGGGCGAGAGCCUGAACCAACCAAAAGUCGCGUGAAGGAAGACUGUCCUAUGGAUUGUAAACUUCUUUUGUACGGGAAUAAAGUGGGCUACGUGUAGCCUUUUGUAUGUACCGUACGAAUAAGGAUCGGCUAACUCCGUGCCAGCCGCCGC
rnacentral:rRNA from 1 species